rnacentral:rRNA from 1 species
UACGGAGGGUGCGAGCGUUGUCCGGAAUCACUGGGCGUAAAGGGCGCGUAGGCGGCGCGGGCAGUCAACGGUGAAAGCUUGGGGCUCAACCCCCGAGUCGGCCGUCGAUACUCCCGUGCUUGAGCACUGUAGAGGCAGGUGGAAUUCCGGGUGUAGCGGUGGAAUGCGUAGAGAUCCGGAAGAACACCGGUGGCGAAGGCGGCCUGCUGGGCAGUAGCUGACGCUGAGGCGCGACAGCGUGGGGAGCAAACAGG